rnacentral:rRNA from 1 species
AGAGUUUGAUCCUGGCUCAGGAUGAACGCUGGCGGCGUGGAUAAGGCAUGCAAGUCACGGGGGCUCUUCGGAGCAACCGGCAAACGGGUUAGUAACACAUAGGAAUCUACCGAGAAGUUUGGCAUAGCUUUCCGAAAGGGAAGGUAAUUCCAAAUGGCCUCAUUGAGCAAUCAAUGAGUAAAGGCAAUAGCAAUAUUGCCGCUUCUUGAGGAGCCUGUGUCCUAUCAGCUUGUUGGUGAGGUAAUGGCUCACCAAGGCUAUGACGGGUAGGGGAUGUGAGAGCAUGAUCCCCAACAUUGGGACUGAGACACUGCCCAAACACCUACGGGUGGCUGCAGUCGAGAAUCUUCGGCAAUGGGCGAAAGCCUGACCGAGCGACGCCGCGUGGAGGAUGAAGGCCUUCGGGUUGUAAACUCCUUUUGUAAGGGAAGAAACCGUGUUCAGCACGGAGAAUCCAAUCAACUGAAAAUAUGAUUGGAAAUUUCGUGUUGGAUGCGGCUGACGGUACCUUGCGAAUAAGAGGUUGCUAACUCUGUGCCAGCAGCAGCGGUAAUACAGAGACCUCAAGCGUUAUCCGGAUUUAUUGGGCGUAAAGCGUGUGUAGGCGGUUCGAAUAGUCAGAUGUUAAAUUCCAGUGCUCAACAUUGGAGCCGCAUCUGAAACGUUUGAACUAGAGGCAAGUAGAGGUUCAUGGAACAUAUGGUGUAGCAGUGAAAUGCGUUGAUAUCAUAUGGAACGCCAAACGCGAAGGCAGUGAACUGGGCUUGAUCUGACGCUGAGACACUAAAGCGUGGGUAGCGAAUGGGAUUAGAUACCCCAGUAGUCCACGCCCUAAACGCUGCUUACUAGGUCUGGGGAGUAUCGACCCUCUCCGGAUCGAAGCUAACGCGUUAAGUAAGCCGCCUGGGAAGUACGAGCGCAAGCUUAAAACUCAAAGGAAUAGACGGGGACCCGCACAAGCGGUGGAGCACGCGGUUCAAUUCGUCAGCAAGCGAGGAACCUUACCAGGGCUUGAAAUCCUACUGCAAAUCCUAAGAAAAUAGGACUCCUUCGAGGGUGUAGGACAGGCGCUGCAUGGUUGUCGUCAGCUCGUGCCGUGAGGUGUUCCAUUAAGUUGGGAAACGAGCGCAACCCCUGUCGAGUGUUAGAUAUGUCACUCGAGACUGCCCGGCCCCAAGCGUAUUUUUGAAAAGUACGUUUCGGGCCGGGAGGAAGGUGGGGAUGACGUCAAAUCAGCAUGGCCCUCUGACGCCCUGGGCGACACGCAUGCUACAAUGGCCGGCACAAUGGGUAGCCAAACCGCGAGGUGGAGCCAACCCCACAAAGCCGGUCUCAGUUCGGAUUGGAGUCUGCAACUCGACUCCAUGAAGCCGGAAUCGCUAGUAAUCGUGAAUCAGCCAUGUCACGGUGAAUACGUUCUCGC